rnacentral:rRNA from 1 species
GGAAUAUUGCACAAUGGGCGCAAGCCUGAUGCAGCCAUGCCGCGUGUGUGAAGAAGGCCUUCGGGUUGUAAAGCACUUUCAGCGGGGAGGAAGGCGUUAAGGUUAAUAACCUUGGCGAUUGACGUUACCCGCAGAAGAAGCACCGGCUAACUCCGUGCCAGCAGCCGCGGUAAUACGGAGGGUGCAAGCGUUAAUCGGAAUUACUGGGCGU